CUCUACUUAGUCAUAUGGAUCCGCGUGAAGGAAGAAGGCCUUCGGGUUGUAAACUUCUUUUUAGGGGGAAAAGGCAGGAUGGUACCCCUAGAAUAAGUCACGGCUAACUACGUGCCAGCAGCCGCGGUAAUACGUAGGUGACAAGCGUUAUCCGGAAUUACCGGGCGUAAAGCGCACGCAAGCGGUGCGCCAAGUCCGACGUGAAAUCUACUGGCUUAACCAGGAGCGGUCGUUGGAAACUGGUGCGCUCGAGGCGAUGAGAGGGGUGCAGAAUUCCAGGUGUAGUGGUGGAAUGCGUAGAUAUCUGGAGGAAUACCAGUGGCGAAAGCGGCGCCCUGGCAUCGGCCUGACGCACAUGUGCGAAAGCGUGGGGAGCGAACGGGAUUAGAUACCCCGGUAGUCCACGCUGUAAACGAUGAACACUAGGUGUGGGUGGAGUCAAAUCUGUCCGUGCCAAAGCCAACGCGUUAAGUGUUCCGCAUGGGGAGUACGGCCGCAAGGCUAAAACUCAAAGGAAUUGACGGGGGCCCGCACAAGCAGCGGAGCGUGUGGUUUAAUUCGAUGCGACACGAAGAACCUUACCUGGGUUUGACAUGGGCGUAGUAGUGAAGCGAAAGCGGAACGACCUCUCAGUUCGGAUUGUCGUCUGCAACUCGGCGGCAUGAAGUCGGAAUCGCUAGUAAUCGCGUAACAGCAUGACGCGGUGACUUCGGGGAGCGUCCACAGGUGCUGCAUGGCUGUCGUCAGCUCGUGUCGUGAGAUGUUCGGUUAAGUCCGGCAACGAGCGCAACCCACACUUUCAGUUGCCAUCAUUCAGUUGGGCACUCUGGAAGAACUGCCGGUGAUAAGCCGGAGGAAGGUGUGGAUGACGUCAAGUCCUCAUGGCCCUUACGGGUUGGGCUACACACGUGCUACAAUGGUGGUGACAAUGGGUUAAUCCCAAAAAGCCA
rnacentral:rRNA from 1 species